AUUAAUGUAAUGAUGUGUACUUUCAGAAUACCAAGAUUUCCCCGACUUCUCUCCAGAGCUCUCAGCAUCAAGGCGUGAGACCAUGCCCCUCAAUAUCUCUCCACCAAUACAAGAGCCAGCAUCCCAGGGGGCACAGGAGCCAUUGCCAACAGCACCAACUACACAGAGAACCCCAAGAGCCAGGACCAGGACCCGGAAAGUGCUCACUCCAUGUUAUAUGAAGAGGCUUCAGCACUACUGCGACGAGAA